rnacentral:rRNA from 1 species
CCUACGGGAGGCAGCAGUGGGGGAUAUUGCACAAUGGGGGAAACCCUGAUGCAGCGACGCCGCGUGUGGGAAGACGGUCCUCUGGAUUGUAAACCACUGUCCCCAGGGACGAAACUGACGGUACCUGGGGCGGAAUCUCCGGCUAACUACGUGCCAGCAGCCGCGGAAAUACGUAGGGAGCGAGCGUUGUCCGGAAUUACUGGGUGAAAAGGGAGCGUAGGCGGGGAUGCAAGUUGGGUGUCAAAACUACCGGCUCAACUGGUAGUCGCACUCAAACCUGCAGCUCUUGAGUGAAGUAGAGGCAGGCAGAAUUCCUAGUGUAGCGGUGAAAUGCGUAGAUAUUAGGAGGAACACCAGAGGCGAAGGCGGCCGGCUGGGCUUUUACUGACGCUGAGGCUCGAAAGUGUGGGGAGCAAACAGGAUUAGAUACCCCAGUAGUC